AUCAUUCACGCAAAAAUGAUU
rnacentral:miRNA from 1 species